rnacentral:lncRNA from 1 species
AUGCUCAAACAGGGUAAGCAAAUAGCAGCCACUGAUGUCGGAUAGAUUUCUAAAUUUAUUUAAGAAUCAUUACUCUUAAACUUCUAUUUUGACAAAUUUUUUUAACUGUUCUCUCUCAUACUCUAGAUUGAGUUCAUUCUGUUCAAUAAACCAUGAUGUAUAGACCCACUCUUCUAAAUUCUGAUGUCUAGACUCUAUCAUCUAGUUUCUAUUUUGUUCACCUUUUAUGAUUAACCUUGUAGGUCACCUCUUAUCUCACUUAAGUGUAAUUGUGCCAAGAAAAAAAAAAAGCAAUAAAUGACAUUAAGAAGCCUUAUGUUCAAGUUCUGUGGUAGUGUCAAAAUACUCCAGCUAGCAGCUUAAGGUGAAAAAAUCUUAGCUCCUUGCCCUGAAAAUUCAUCCUUGACAUCUGAAAGUCAAAUUGCUCCUCCUCCAUAUAUUUAAACAACUAUAAAAAUUCAGCUAUGGAAAUGAGAUCCUCAGCAAGCACAACUAUUUGCUUAAUAAUGGAUGAAACAAGGCUGAUCCAGCUCACUUUUCCAUGUACAGGCAGUGCAAAGCCAACGAGAAUUAAGGAAAAUUAAAGAAGACUGUUAAGAAAAGCAAAUAAUAAAUGAAAUUAUGACAAAGAUAAAUAACAAAGAGGGAAUUGCUGGAAGACUUCAUUGUUAGAGACUGCUAACAGCGAAAUGUCUACCACCACUGAAGGGUAUGGAUGGAUUUUUCCAAGGUAUGAAUCAAAGAAAUUUAACUUGUUAAAAUCCUUUGUCUGGACUAGAAAGAGUGAGAACAAGAAGUAGUUAAUUGAUACCAUUUUGAUAUUCAGUAGAAAGGAAGUGGGAUAGGACUGAAAGGAACAUACGCAGAACAGGCAAGGAAAACUUAAGACUUAGAUGGAAAGCUGCAAACCUUUCACUAUCUUGGCCCUCUGUUCUCAGAAAUGCAUCUUACAACAAAUAACAUCUAGAUUACUACAAUAGGACAGUCAACACAAGCUUUUGGAUGUGUCAAACCAAUAACAUUAUGACUGGUGGACAUAGAUAGCUUUCCCCAGUCUAAGGUCCUGCCAUGGAGCUGUUAGUCA